GACGAACGCUGGCGGCGUGCUUAACACAUGCAAGUCGAACGGAAAGGCCCUGCUUUUGUGGGGUGCUCGAGUGGCGAACGGGUGAGUAACACGUGAGUAACCUGCCCUUGACUUUGGGAUAACUUCAGGAAACUGGGGCUAAUACCGGAUAGGAGCUCCUGCUGCAUGGUGGGGGUUGGAAAGUUUCGGCGGUUGGGGAUGGACUCGCGGCUUAUCAGCUUGUUGGUGGGGUAGUGGCUUACCAAGGCUUUGACGGGUAGCCGGCCUGAGAGGGUGACCGGCCACAUUGGGACUGAGGUACGGCCCAGACUCCUUCGGGAGGCAGCAGUGGGGAAUAUUUCACAAUGGGCGGAAGCCUGAUGCAGCAACGCCGCGGGCGGGAUGACGGCCUUCGGGUUGUAAACCGCUUUCGCCUGUGACGAAGCGUGGGUGACGGUAAUGGGUAAAGAAGCACCGGCUAACUACGUG
rnacentral:rRNA from 1 species